CACUACAUGGAUAACUGUGGUAAUUCUAGAGCUAAUACAUGCUAAAAAUCCCAACUUCGGAAGGGAUGUAUUUAUUAGAUGAAAAACCAAUGCCCUUUGGGCUCUCUGGUGAUUCAUGAUAACUUCUCGAAUCGCAUGGCCUUGCGCCGGCGAUGGUUCAUUCAAAUUUCUUCCCUAUCAACUUUCGAUGCGAAGGUCUUGUCUUCGCAUGGUUACAACGGGUAACGGAGGGUUAGGGCUCGACCCCGGAGAAGGAGCCUGAGAAACGGCUACUACAUCCAAGGAAGGCAGCAGGCGCGCAAAUUACCCAAUCCCGACGCGGGGAGGUAGUGACAAGUAAGUUACAGGCUACUACGGGUCAAGUUCAGGCUGGACAUCCGCUAACGUUUUCGCAGUAAAUACUGAUACAGGGCUCUUUUGGGUCUUGUAAUUGGAAUGAGUACAAUUUAAAUCCCUUAACGAGGAACAAUUGGAGGGCAAGUCUGGUGCCAGCAGCCGCGGUAAUUCCAGCUCCAAUAGCGUAUAUUAAAGUUGUUGUGGUUAAAAAGCUCGUAGUUGAACCUUGGGCCUGGCUGGCCGGUCCCCCUCACCGGGUGCACUGAUCCAGCCGGGCCUUUCCCUCUGUGGAACCCCAUGGCCUUCACUGGUCGUGGCGGGGAAACAGGACUUUUACUUUGAAAAAAUUAGAGUGCUCCAGGCAGGCCUAUGCUCGAAUACAUUAGCAUGGAAUAAUGAAAUAGGACGCGUGGUUCUAUUUUGUUGGUUUCUAGGACCGCCGUAAUGAUUAAUAGGGACAGUCGGGGGCAUCAGUAUUCAAUUGUCAGAGGUGAAAUUCUUGGAUCUAUUGAAGACUAACUACUGCGAAAGCAUUUGCCAAGGAUGUUUUCAUUGAUAAGGAACGAAAGUUAGGGGAUCGAAGACGAUCAGAUACCGUCGUAGUCUUAACCAUAAACUAUGCCGACUAGGGAUCGGACGAUGUUGCUAAUUGACUCGUUCGGCACCUUUCGAGAAAUCAAAGUGCU
rnacentral:rRNA from 1 species